rnacentral:rRNA from 1 species
AGAGUUUGAUCCUGGCUCAGGAUGAACGCUGGCGGCGUGCCUAACACAUGCAAGUCGAACGAAGACUGCGCGGCGGAACUCUCCGGAGGGAAGAUGCGCAGGACUGAGUGGCGGACAGGUGAGUAACACGUGGGUAACCUGCCCAAGAGACUGGGAUAACACCUGGAAACAGGUGCUAAUACCGGAUAACAACACUAGACGCAUGUCUAGAGUUUGAAAGAUGGUUCUGCUAUCACUCUUGGAUGGACCUGCGGUGCAUUAGCUAGUUGGUAAGGUAACGGCUUACCAAGGCAAUGAUGCAUAGCCGAGUUGAGAGACUGAUCGGCCACAUUGGGACUGAGACACGGCCCAAACUCCUACGGGAGGCAGCAGUAGGGAAUCUUCCACAAUGGACGAAAGUCUGAUGGAGCAACGCCGCGUGAGUGAAGAAGGGUUUCGGCUCGUAAAGCUCUGUUGGUAGUGAAGAAAGAUAGAGGUAGUAACUGGCCUUUAUUUGACGGUAAUUACUUAGAAAGUCACGGCUAACUACGUGCCAGCAGCCGCGGUAAUACGUAGGUGGCAAGCGUUGUCCGGAUUUAUUGGGCGUAAAGCGAGUGCAGGCGGUUCAAUAAGUCUGAUGUGAAAGCCUUCGGCUCAACCGGAGAAUUGCAUCAGAAACUGUUGAACUUGAGUGCAGAAGAGGAGAGUGGAACUCCAUGUGUAGCGGUGGAAUGCGUAGAUAUAUGGAAGAACACCAGUGGCGAAGGCGGCUCUCUGGUCUGCAACUGACGCUGAGGCUCGAAAGCAUGGGUAGCGAACAGGAUUAGAUACCCUGGUAGUCCAUGCCGUAAACGAUGAGUGCUAAGUGUUGGGAGGUUUCCGCCUCUCAGUGCUGCAGCUAACGCAUAAGCACUCCGCCUGGGGAGUACGACCGCAAGGUUGAAACUCAAAGGAAUUGACGGGGGCCCGCACAAGCGGUGGAGCAUGUGGUUUAAUUCGAAGCAACGCGAAGAACCUUACCAGGUCUUGACAUCCAGUGCAAACCUAAGAGAUUAGGUGUUCCCUUCGGGGACGCUGAGACAGGUGGUGCAUGGCUGUCGUCAGCUCGUGUCGUGAGAUGUUGGGUUAAGUCCAGCAACGAGCGCAACCCUUGUCAUUAGUUGCCAUCAUUAAGUUGGGCACUCUAAUGAGACUGCCGGUGACAAACCGGAGGAAGGUGGGGAUGACGUCAAGUCAUCAUGCCCCUUAUGACCUGGGCUACACACGUGCUACAAUGGACGGUACAACGAGAAGCGAACCUGCGAAGGCAAGCGGAUCUCUUAAAGCUGUUCUCAGUUCGGACUGUAGGCUGCAACUCGCCUACACGAAGCUGGAAUCGCUAGUAAUCGCGGAUCAGCACGCCGCGGUGAAUACGUUCCCGGGCCUUGCACUCACCGCCCGUCA